CACGGAGUUAGCCGGUGCUUAUUCCUUGGGUACCGUCAUAAUUCUUUCCCAAGAAAAGGAGUUUACGCUCCGAAAAGUGUCAUCCUCCACGCGGCGUUGCUGCUUCAGGGUUUCCCCCAUUGAGCAAUAUUCCCUACUGCUGCCUCCCGUAGGAGUCUGGACCGUGUCUCAGUUCCAGUGUGACUGAUCAUCCUCUCAGACCAGUUACGCGUCAUAGCCUUGGUAAGCCAUUACCUUACCAACUAGCUGAUACGAUAUAGCCCUAUCCAUUACCGAAAAACUUUCCCGUAUCUACUUAUAUAGAUACGGAGUAUAAGGUAUUAGCAGUCGUUUCCAACUGUUGUCCCUUAGUAAUGGGCAAGUUAGCUAUAUAUUACUCACCCGUGCGCCACUAAGAUUAAAUAGCAAGCUACUUAAUCUCCGUUCGACUUGCAUGUAUUAGGCACGCCGCCAGCGUUCACUCUGAGCCAGGAUCAAACUCU
rnacentral:rRNA from 1 species